rnacentral:rRNA from 1 species
UACGUAGGGUGCAAGCGUUACUCGGAAUUAUUGGGCGUAAAGCGCAUGUAGGCGGUUUUGUAAGUCUGAUGUGAAAUCCCUGGACUCAAUUCAGGAACUGCAUUGGAUACUGCAAGACUAGAGUAGAGGAGAGGUAGGCGGAAUUCCUGGUGUAGAGGUGAAAUUCGUAGAUAUCAGGAGGAACAACAGAGGCGAAGGCGGCUUACUGGACUCUAACUGACGCUGAGAUGCGACAGUGUGGGGAGCAAACAGG